rnacentral:rRNA from 1 species
GAUGAACGCUGGCGGCGUGCCUAAUACAUGCAAGUCGAGCGAACAGACGAGGAGCUUGCUCCUCUGACGUUAGCGGCGGACGGGUGAGUAACACGUGGAUAACCUACCUAUAAGACUGGGAUAACUUCGGGAAACCGGAGCUAAUACCGGAUAACAUGUUGAACCGCAUGGUUCAACAGUGAAAGACGGUUUUGCUGUCACUUAUAGAUGGAUCCGCGUCGCAUUAGCUAGUUGGUAAGGUAACGGCUUACCAAGGCAACGAUGCGUAGCCGACCUGAGAGGGUGAUCGGCCACACUGGAACUGAGACACGGUCCAGACUCCUACGGGAGGCAGCAGUAGGGAAUCUUCCGCAAUGGGCGAAAGCCUGACGGAGCAACGCCGCGUGAGUGAAGAAGGUCUUCGGAUCGUAAAACUCUGUUAUUAGGGAAGAACAAAUGUGUAAGUAACUAUGCACGUCUUGACGGUACCUAAGCAGAAAGCCACGGCUAACUACGU